rnacentral:rRNA from 1 species
GUGCCAGCAGCCGCGGUAAGACAGGGGGCCCGAGCGUUAAUCGGAAUCACUGGGCUUAAAGGGUGCGCAGGCGGACCAGAAAGCAUCUUGUGAAAGCCCCCGGCUCAACCGGGGAAUUGCGGGGUGAACUCCUGGUCUUGAGGCAGGUAGGGGCAGACGGAACUGUCGGUGGAGCGGUGAAAUGCAUAGAUAUCGACAGGAACGCCAAUGGCGAAGGCAGUCUGCUGGGCCUGUCCUGACGCUCAGGCACGAAAGCGUGGGGAGCAAACAGGAUUAGAUACCCCCGUAGUCC